rnacentral:rRNA from 1 species
AUUGAACGCUGGCGGCAUGCCUUACACAUGCAAGUCGAACGGCAGCGGACCUUCGGUUCCCGAUGCUAGUGGCGCACGGGUGAGUAACACGUGGGAACGUACCCUUUAGUACGGAAUAACUCAGGGAAACUUGAGCUAAUACCGUAUGACUCCUUCGGGAGAAAGAUUUAUCGCUAAAGGAGCGGCCCGCGUCUGAUUAGGUAGUUGGUGAGGUAACGGCUCACCAAGCCGACGAUCAGUAGCUGGUCUGAGAGGAUGAUCAGCCACACUGGGACUGAGACACGGCCCAGACUCCUACGGGAGGCAGCAGUGGGGAAUAUUGGACAAUGGGGGCAACCCUGAUCCAGCCAUGCCGCGUGAGUGAAGAAGGCCUUCGGGUUGUAAG